rnacentral:rRNA from 1 species
GAUGAACGCUGGCGGCGUGCCUAAUAAAUGCAAGUCGAGCGAACGGACCAGAAGCUUGCUCCUCUGACGUUAACGGCGGACGUGUGAGUAACACGUGGAUAACCUACCUAUAAGACUGGGAUAACUUCGGGAAACCGGAGCUAAUACCGGAUAAUAUUUUGAACCGCAAGGUUCAACAGUGAAAGACGGUCUUGCUGUCACUUAUAGAUGUAUCCGCGCUGCAUUAGCUAGUUGGUAAGGUAACGGCUUACCAAGGCAACGAUGCAUAGCCGACCCGAGCGGGUUGUCGCCCAUAGCGGACCUGAGACACGGUCCAGACUCCCACGGGAGGCAGCAUUAGGGAAUCUUCCGCGAUGGUCGAAAGCCUGACGGAGCAAUGCCCCGUUAGUGAUGAAGGUCUUCCUGUCCCAAACCCCUGUUAUCAGGGACGAACAUAUGUGUAAGUGACCGUGCACAUCUUGACGGUACCUAAUCAGAAAGCCCCGGCUAACUACAUG